rnacentral:rRNA from 2 species
GUCGACGAACUCUGGUAUUGAUUGGUGCUUGCAUCAUGAUUUACAUUUGAGUGAGUGGCGAACUGGUGAGUAACACGUGGGAAACCUGCCCAGAAGCGGGGGAUAACACCUGGAAACAGAUGCUAAUACCGCAUAACAACUUGGACCGCAUGGUCCGAGCUUGAAAGAUGGCUUCGGCUAUCACUUUUGGAUGGUCCCGCGGCGUAUUAGCUAGAUGGUGGGGUAACGGCUCACCAUGGCAAUGAUACGUAGCCGACCUGAGAGGGUAAUCGGCCACAUUGGGACUGAGACACGGCCCAAACUCCUACGGGAGGCAGCAGUAGGGAAUCUUCCACAAUGGACGAAAGUCUGAUGGAGCAACGCCGCGUGAGUGAAGAAGGGUUUCGGCUCGUAAAACUCUGUUGUUAAAGAAGAACAUAUCUGAGAGUAACUGUUCAGGUAUUGACGGUAUUUAACCAGAAAGCCACGGCUAACUACGUGCCAGCAGCCGCGGUAAUACGUAGGUGGCAAGCGUUGUCCGGAUUUAUUGGGCGUAAAGCGAGCGCAGGCGGUUUUUUAAGUCUGAUGUGAAAGCCUUCGGCUCAACCGAAGAAGUGCAUCGGAAACUGGGAAACUUGAGUGCAGAAGAGGACAGUGGAACUCCAUGUGUAGCGGUGAAAUGCGUAGAUAUAUGGAAGAACACCAGUGGCGAAGGCGGCUGUCUGGUCUGUAACUGACGCUGAGGCUCGAAAGUAUGGGUAGCAAACAGGAUUAGAUACCCUGGUAGUCCAUACCGUAAACGAUGAAUGCUAAGUGUUGGAGGGUUUCCGCCCUUCAGUGCUGCAGCUAACGCAUUAAGCAUUCCGCCUGGGGAGUACGGCCGCAAGGCUGAAACUCAAAGGAAUUGACGGGGGCCCGCACAAGCGGUGGAGCAUGUGGUUUAAUUCGAAGCUACGCGAAGAACCUUACCAGGUCUUGACAUACUAUGCAAAUCUAAGAGAUUAGACGUUCCCUUCGGGGACAUGGAUACAGGUGGUGCAUGGUUGUCGUCAGCUCGUGUCGUGAGAUGUUGGGUUAAGUCCCGCAACGAGCGCAACCCUUAUUAUCAGUUGCCAGCAUUAAGUUGGGCACUCUGGUGAGACUGCCGGUGACAAACCGGAGGAAGGUGGGGAUGACGUCAAAUCAUCAUGCCCCUUAUGACCUGGGCUACACACGUGCUACAAUGGAUGGUACAACGAGUUGCGAACUCGCGAGAGUAAGCUAAUCUCUUAAAGCCAUUCUCAGUUCGGAUUGUAGGCUGCAACUCGCCUACAUGAAGUCGGAAUCGCUAGUAAUCGCGGAUCAGCAUGCCGCGGUGAAUACGUUCCCGGGCCUUGUACACACCGCCCGUCACACCAUGAGAGUUUGUAACACCCAAAGUCGGUGGG